AGCUAACGUUGGCGGCGUGCCUAACACAUGCAAGUCGAGCGAAUCUUCAGGAGCUUGCUCCUGAAGAUUAGCGGCGGACGGGUGAGUAACACGUGGGCAACCUGCCUGUAAGACUGGGAUAACUUCGGGAAACCGAGGCUAAUACCGGAUAAUCCUUUUUCUCACAUGAGGGAAAGCUGAAAGACGGCGCAAGCUGUCACUUUACAGAUGGGGCCCGCGGCGCAUUAGCUAGUUGGUGAGGUAACGGCUCACCAAGGCGACGAUGCGUAGCCGACCUGAGAGGGUGAUCGGCCACACUGGGACUGAGACACGGCCCAGACUCCUACGGGAGCAG
rnacentral:rRNA from 1 species